AGAUGUAAGGGGAGACUGGCUGACAUAUUUGUCACCCCAUUGAUUGCUAGGGUUGACUCAGCUAAUCUGGCUGGCUAGGCCUGUGUCCACUUCCUCCCUCACCACUCCAUGUGUGUCCCUCCCAAAGCUGUGUGCCUGGACGGAAGAUGACCUUCCUUGAAUAGAUGAGGACAGGUCUUCAGUCAAGGGUAUUCAAUAGCUGUGCUCCUCUGCUAGGGCCUCCAAAUAAGCUCUCAAGAAUGGUGAGAAAAUUCUGAAAGUACUACUCCAGAGUGGGCUUUUCUACACCUUGGUUUCUUGUGUGUGUGUGCACAUGUGAGUAUGUGG
ensembl:misc_RNA 7SK 7SK RNA